GACGAACGCUGGCGGCGUGCCUAAUACAUGCAAGUCGAGCGGGGAGACUCGAUAUGGAGGCUUCGGCCGAAGUGUUGAGGAUCCCAGCGGCGGACGGGUGAGUAACGCGUGGGUAACCUACCCUAUCGCCCGGGAUAACCUUCGGAAACGGGGGCUAAUACCGGAUGCGGUCACCGGGCCGCAUGGCCGGGUGACGAAAGGGCGAAGCCCGCGAUAGGAUGGGCCCGCGUCCCAUUAGCUAGUUGGUGGGGUAACGGCCCACCAAGGCGACGAUGGGUAGCCGGCCUGAGAGGGUGGACGGCCACACUGGGACUGAGACACGGCCCAG
rnacentral:rRNA from 1 species